GACGAACGCUGGCGGCGUGCCUAAUACAUGCAAGUAGGACGCACGUGCGACCGGGUGAGUGACGCGUUGGUAACUACCUAUUAGAGGGGGAUAACUAUUGGAAACGAUAGCUACUACCGUAUACUAACAGAUGGACCUGCGUUGUAUUAGCUAGUAGGUAGGUUAAUGGACCACCUAGGCAACGAUACAUAGCCGACCUGAGAGGGUGAUCGGCCACACUGGGACUGAGACACGGCCCAGACGCCUACGGGAGGCAGCAGUAGGGAAUCUGCGGCAAUGGGGGGAACCCUGACCGAGCAACGCCGCGUGAGUGAAGAAGGUUUUCGGAUCGUAAAGCUCUGUUGUUAAGGAAGCGGUACUUAACCAGAAAGGGACGGCUAACUACGUGCCAGCAGCCGCGGUAAUUC
rnacentral:rRNA from 1 species